AUUGAACGCUGGCGGCAGGCCUAACACAUGCAAGUCGAGCGCGCGGCGGACGGGUGAGUAAUGUCUGGGGAACUGCCUGAUGGAGGGGGAUAACUACUGGAAACGGUAGCUAAUACCGCAUACUACCUGAUGUGUCCACAUGGGAUUAGCUCGUAGGUGGGGUAAGGGCUCACCUAGGCGACGAUCCCUAGCUGGUCUGAGAGGAUGACCAGCCACACUGGAACUGAGACACGGUCCAGACUCCUACGGGAGGCAGCAGUGGGGAAUAUUGCACAAUGGGCGCAAGCAUGAUGCAGCCAUGCCGCGUGUGUGAAGAAGGCCUUCGGGUUGUAAAGCACUUUCAGCGGGGAGGCGUUACCCGCAGAAGAAGCACCGGCUAACUCCGUGCCAGCAGCCGCGGUAAUAC
rnacentral:rRNA from 1 species